UACGUAGGGUGCAGGCGUUAAUCGGAAUUACUGGGCGUAAAGCGUGCGCAGGCGGUUUGCUAAGACAGGUGUGAAAUCCCCGGGCUUAACCUGGGAACUGCGCUUGUUACUGGCAAGCUGGAGUGUGGCAGAGGGGGGUGGAAUUCCACGUGUAGCAGUGAAAUGCGUAGAGAUGUGGAGGAAUACCGAUGGCGAAGGCAGCCUCCUGGGCCAACACUGACGCUCAUGCACGAAAGCGUGGGGAGCAAACAGG
rnacentral:rRNA from 1 species